UACAGAGGGUGCAAACGUUGCUCGGAAUUAUUGGGCGUAAAGGGGAGGUAGGUGGUCCUGUUUGUCUGUGGGUGAAAUCCCGGAGCUUAACUCCGGAAUUGCCUCGGAAACGGCAGGACUAGAGUAUCGGAGAGGGUCGUGGAAUUCCCGGUGUAGCGGUGAAAUGCGUAGAGAUCGGGAGGAACACCAGUGGCGAAAGCGACGACCUGGACGAUUACUGACACUCAACUCCGAAAGCGUGGGGAGCAAA
rnacentral:rRNA from 1 species